rnacentral:rRNA from 1 species
GCCCUUAGAGUUUGAUCAUGGCUCAGAUUGAACGCUGGCGGCAUGCCUAACACAUGCAAGUCGAGCGGCAGCGCUGGGCGUCUUCGGACGCCCUGGCGGCGGGCGGCGGACGGGUGAGUAACGCGUGGGAAUCUACCCUUCGGUGGGGGAUAGCCCGGGGAAACUCGGAUUAAUACCGCAUACGCCCUACGGGGGAAAGCGGGCCUCUGAUGCAAGCUCGCGCCGAAGGAUGAGCCCGCGUCCGAUUAGCUGGUUGGUGGGGUAAAGGCCUACCAAGGCGACGAUCGGUAGCUGGUCUGAGAGGAUGGUCAGCCACACUGGGACUGAGACACGGCCCAGACCCCUACGGGAGGCAGCAGUGGGGAAUAUUGGACAAUGGGCGAAAGCCUGAUCCAGCAAUGCCGCGUGUGUGAAGAAGGCCUGCGGGUUGUAAAGCACUUUCAUCGGGGAGGAAAAGCGGCGGGUUAAUAGCCUGUCGUCUUGACGUUACCCGAAGAAGAAGCGCCGGCAAACUUCGUGCCAGCAG